AAAAAAACAAAUAAGGACAUAUAUAUAUAUAUAGCGGAGGCAGAGUUACAAACCAGGGAAAGUGGCAUGUCGAGCAAAGUCUACAAAUUUAAUUUACAUAGAUACAUACAAUAGAUUAAACUGGAGAGAAAAGAAAAGUUGCAACAGAACAGUUUGGUACAAUAUGACACAGGUGCCAAGAACAAAAUAAGAAGCAUACGAGCAAACGCAGCAAGGCAAGAAGCAUCAGCGUGGUGUCAAACAACCAAAUGAAGGAGUAGGGUCUGUACAUCACGGUUGUAAGAACAAAAGGGUCAUAGCA
rnacentral:lncRNA from 1 species